AACGAACGCUGGCGGCAUGCCUAACACAUGCAAGUCGAACGAAGGCUUCGUCCGUAGUGGCUCACGGGUGCGUCACGCGUCGGAAUCUGCCCUUAUGUUCGGAAUAACAGCUGUAAACGGCUGCUAAUACCGGAUGAUUACGAAAGACAACAGAUACAACGCGCGAGGAUGAGCCCGCGUUGGUUUAGCCUGGUGGGGGGGUAAGGGCCUACCAGGCCUAGGAUCCAUAGCUGGUCUGAGAGGAAGAUCAGCCACACUGCGACUGAGACACGGCGCAGACUCCUACGGGAGGCGGCAGUGGGGAAUAUUGGACAACCGGGGCAAGCCGGAUCCAGUAAGGCUGGGUGAGUGAUGAUGGCGGGAGGGUUGUAAAGCACGUUUACCCGGGAAGAUAAUGACGGUACCGGGAGAAUAAGCACCGGCUAACUCCGUG
rnacentral:rRNA from 1 species